UUUUAAUAGCUUAUUAAAGAGUAUAAUAUUGAAGAUAUUAUGGAGGAAGAUUUUCUUUAAAAUAU
rnacentral:tRNA from 1 species